GCACUACUGAGGAGUCCCAUAACAGGAUGAAACAGCCUUCCAGUGC
rnacentral:hammerhead_ribozyme from 1 species